UCUCAGGCUGUGACCAUCUACAGGGAAGCACUUUCUAUGGUCAGAAAAAGAAAGUGCAUCCUUUUAGAGUGUUACUAUUUGAGA
rnacentral:pre_miRNA from 8 species